UGAAAAAGUGGCACAUGGCGAAGAAAAGGCUUAUCUUUGGCUAAACGAUAAGUUAAAUCUUGAGGAUUAUCCAGAACCUGAUGGCGUAACUAGUGAAAGAUUUGUAACCAUGUUGACUAACUUUGUGAAAACUGAAUCCAACACCUGAACAGGAAGAAAUCACUCAAAACAUAACUUGGCCCAAAGUGACUACUGAAAACUUUUAUUAUUUAGAUAUUGAUACAGAUCUAUCUGUGCAAACUAAUCCGAAAUCUUUUACUUUCAGCAACUGGGAACUGAUUUACGAUUAUUACGCUAUUCGGCCAUUUGACACUUAUUAAAUGCAUACAUGAUAUAAUAAAUUAAAAUUGCCUGGAAUAAAAA